CCGCAUACCAAACCAACUAAUGGUGCCUUGUUGUAGCCGAGCCUCAACCACGCUCUUGCCCAUCCCAGGUUGGCACGGUAAAGGCAUCAACCCAUGUAAGCCACUAGCGAAGGUCUAACACUAUCCCUAAUGAAUCAUGACUAACAUGAAAAAUAUCAUGUGCGUACACUAUGUGAAGUCACUCAGGAUACUCCAAACAUCGAAGAUAGACCAAGAGUUGGAUAGAUG
rnacentral:lncRNA from 1 species